rnacentral:rRNA from 1 species
ACUCAAAUGAAUUGACGGGGGCCCGCACAAGCGGUGGAUCAUGUGGUUUAAUUCGAAGCAACGCGAAGAACCUUACCUGGGUUUGACAUCGCCGGACAUCCGUAGAGAUACGGCCUUCGUAGCAAUACGACCGGUAGACAGGUGCUGCAUGGCUGUCGUCAGCUCGUGUGGUGACAUGUUGGGUUAAGUCCCUUAACGAGCGCAACCCUUGUCGUUAGUUGCCAGCAUUAAGUUGGGCUCUCUAACGAGACUGCCGUGGUUAACACGGAGGAAGGUGGGGAUGACGUCAAGUCCUCAUGGCCUUUAUACCCAGGGCGACACACGUGAUACAAUGGAUGGUACAGAGGGUCGCGAGCAGGUGACUGUAAGCAAAUCUCAAAAAGCCAUCCUCAGUUCGGAUUGGAGUCUGCAACUCGACUCCAUGAAGUUGGAAUCGCUAGUAAUCGCGGAUCAGAACGCCGCGGUGAAUACGUUCCCGGGCCUUGCACACACCGCCCGU